rnacentral:lncRNA from 12 species
CUCUUAUAAGUCCAGGGAGCUGCUAGGCAGUGAGCAACCUGGCCUGAGAUCCCAAUAAGAGACUGGGGAAUUGAAUACAGCAUCCAGCAAGACAUGGUGGUGAACCCUGGCUCUAAGUCUUCAUGAUUAAGCGACUCUUUUGCACAACACAAAGCAGAAACACUUCGGCUCUAAGAGGCAUUUUUCUGAGGCGAGCAUAUUUAAACAGCAGAAUGGGCUCUUGUGGCUGGUGAUAAAAUUCCCUCUUCUGUCGUUCUCAAAAAAACAAAAUAAAACAAAACAAACAAACAAACAAACAAACACCAAACCAGGAGUUUUGAAAUUUACACAAUUUCCAGAUGACUCUCUUGAGAUCUUCGCACUCUAUGAUUCUGCAGGUCUGUGAAAAAUUAAGACAAUUUAAAUCUGGAGUCAUUUCUUCUGAUACCUGAGCCUUUAGCUGUUUGUUAC